rnacentral:rRNA from 1 species
UGGGGAAUCUUGCACAAUGGGCGAAAGCCUGAUGCAGCGACGCCGCGUGGGGGAUGAAGGCCCUCGGGUUGUAAACCCCUUUCGGCAGGGAAGAAGCCGCAAGGUGACGGUACCUGCAGAAGAAGCCCCGGCCAACUACGUGCCAGCAGCCGCGGUAAGACGUAGGGGGCGAGCGUUGUCCGGAUUUACUGGGCGUAAAGCGCGCGUAGGCGGCUCGUUAAGUCGGGUGUGAAACCCCGGGGCUCAACCCCGGGACUGCAUCCGAUACUGGCGGGCUCGAGGCAGGUAGGGGAGAGUGGAAUUCCCGGUGUAGCGGUGAAAUGCGCAGAUAUCGGGAGGAACACCGGUGGCGAAGGCGGCUCUCUGGGCCUGUCCUGACGCUCAGGCGCGAAAGCUAGGGGAGCAAACAGG